UUCCAAUCACCUUUUAAAUCUUUUGCAGUUGUCAUUAAGGAAAAAUAGAUUGCUUAGCGUAUGAUUAUUUGUGGAUCUGUAAAUUUCUAGUUAUUUGAAGAGAAAAUACAUAUUUUUGUGAAAGUGAAGAGAUAAUUUCAGCUAAAAGAAUGCAUAUCCAACCAGAACCCUCCCAUUGGAGAAGAGAAAAUUUAAUGAGCUUUUAAUGGAAUGCAAUGCUUGGAGUAGUAAAUUAUUUGUUAGUUCACGAUGCAAUCAGCAUGCUGAUUAAGGCUGCUUGGUGUUUUUUUUUAACUAAACAUUAACUGAAUGAAGACAGUUAGUCCUUGUACUUCUGCUUGGGGGCUUUUGUGAAACAAAUGGACUUCAGAAAACAGAAUGACAAUAAAGGUCAAUGCCGUCUUUUGUGUGGAUGGCACUUGUUCAUAGUAUUAUCAGAUCCAAGUUGGGUGACUUGAGAAAGUUCAAAUUGGACCAAUACGUUGUAUCAAUAUUUCUGUGCAGUGAAUGAAUAAAAUUGAGAAUGAUUCAAGAA